UAGUCCACGCCGUAAACGUUGUGUACUAGUUGUGGGAGGAAUUAGCCCCUUCCGUGACUGAGCUAACGCAUUAAGUACACCGCCUGGGGACUACGGCCGCAAGGCUAAAACUCAAAGGAAUUGACGGGGGCCCGCACAAGCGGUGGAGCAUGUGGCUUAAUUCGAGGCAACGCGAAGAACCUUACCUGGGUUUGACAUAUACCUGACCGUCAUGGAAACAUGACUUUCCUUCGGGACGAGUAUACAGGUGCUGCAUGGCUGUCGUCAGCUCGUGCUGUGAAGUGUUCGGUUAAGUCCGGCAACGAGCGCAACCCUCGUCCUUAGUUGCUACCAGGUAAUGCUGGGCACUCUAGGGAGACUGCCCGUGUUAAGCGGGAGGAAGGCGAGGAUGACGUCAAGUCCGUAUGGCCUUUAUAUCCAGGGCUGCACACGUGCUACAAUGGCCGGUAUAAUGGGAAGCAAUACCGCGAGGUGGAGCAAAUCCGCAAAACCGGUCUUAAGUUCGGA
rnacentral:rRNA from 1 species